ACGUGAAAUGGGGCAACCCAAAGUAAAGUGGCGUACGGGUGAGUAACGCGUAGGUAAUCUACCCCGAAAUCUGGAAUAACCGGCCGAAAGGCUGGCUAAUACUGGAUAGAGCGACGGAAUCCGUAAUUGGGUUUUUCGGGAAAGGGAGGGAGCAAUCCCCUUCGUUUCGGGAUGAGCCUGCGUCUCAUUAGCUAGUUGGCGGGGUAAUGGCCCACCAAGGCAUUGAUGAGUAGCUGGUCUGAGAGGAUGAUCAGCCACACUGGAACUGAAACACGGUCCAGACUCCUACGGGAGGCAGCAGUGGGGAAUCUUGCGCAAUGGACGAAAGUCUGACGCAGCCACGCCGCGUGAGUGAAGAAGGCCUUCGGGUUGUAAAGCUCUGUCGGAGGGGACGAACAUUGCCCGGGUUAACAGCCCGGGUGACUGACGGUACCCUCAAAGGAAGCACCGGCUAACUUCGUGCCAGCAGCCGCGGUAAUACGAGGGGUGCAAGCGUUGCUCGGAAUUAUUGGGCGUAAAGGGUAGGUAGGUGGUCUCGUUUGUCUGGGGU
rnacentral:rRNA from 1 species